UUUYCCCCUCCAGUGCGGGAGAAAAGGAGAAGUAACUACUUAAGUAAUCAUCACACGUCUCCUGGGUUAUCUAAAAAGUACAGCUCCUGCUCCACAAUAUUCCUUGAYGAUAGCACGGUCAGCCUGCCCAACCUGAAGAGUACAGUCAAAUGUGUCACGUUGGCGAUAUACUAUCACAUAAAAAACAGGUAGGUUCUAUCGGUCAUUCAUUUGAUGAGGAAAACGGUGAGGAAAAUGAUAUAGAGAUGUGGUGA
rnacentral:lncRNA from 1 species